AUGAAGAGGACAUCGAGAGAGGCAGAAAUCUGCCAUCGAGCAGUUCAUCGAGAGGGCAGAGGUGAACACAUUGGCUUUUCAGGGGAAUCCACUGGUGGAGAUAGUUGUGGUGAUGCUGGCCAGAGAGUCUAUGGUUCCUGUUCUGCACAGUGAGGAGGAUAAAGGCACACAUUUGAACCUGGUCAGAGCGUCCAUCAAUUCCUUCAUCUAUGGGCCUUAAAAGCAUUCUUUACAUCAGAAUGUUCACACCUCAAAUGAGAGACAGUGAAAACCGUCUUUGGGUAAAUCUUCUGAAUGGGUUUAAGGAGAGCUAUUUUCAUCUGUGAAAGCUGCUAUGAGCUGCUAAAAAAGCAUUUAAAAGAGUUAAAGUAAGCUCCAUGACUCCUAAGUAUACAAAGAAGUAAUGCAAAUGUGUUUCAAACGUUUGAGUGUUUUUGAGCUGACUUCAUUCUUUUGGUCCAGGUGGAGUCUCCGGUAUCUUAGAGGGUUUUCUGAAGAACAUUUCUGGAGCCUAUAGAGGUUAUAGAGGUGGAGUUGUAUUAUUGUGACUUUCAGGUGUCCCUAAUGAUGAGGUCAUCACUUUUGCCUCUCAUGACUGAAGAGUGUGCUAAGUUUGCUGUACUGUACUUUUAUUUGUGAUUGUGACACUCAGGUUUUGCAGCUUCUGUUUUAUUUCUUAAAGAUUUUUUUACGACAGUAGCUAUAAGGUUAAUGCUCAUUAUUAUUGAAGCGACAAACUCUGCUGGAGUCCCAGAAUCCUUGUUUUUGCUGCCAUCUUAACUUUUCUGUCUAGUUAUGUUAGUCAUAUGUACAAUAGUUCUAGUCCACAUUUAAGUGAUUGUUUUCAGGCUACAAAACCUGUAUUCUUUGUUUUGUUUUUUUGAAAAGUAGCUGUGAUGUAAACAAAAGGAUUCAUGUCACGUGUCCCGCGUAUCCUGGUUACUUGAGUAAACAGGAAGUCACAGCAAAAUCAAGACCGCCUCUAGUUACAAUACCAGCCGAUGGCCACAAGAUGUCGCCAAACUCCAUAGUUGUAAAGGGAGAGCUUUGUGGGGUCCCGAAACCUGUAGCGUUGCUCCUCUUGACAAAUGACAAUGAAUCCUCUUUGGAUCUGUAAUGUAAUGUAUGCAGAAAAUGAAUUAUUAUGAAUGAUUGUUUUGACUUUGAAUAUUGCAGAAUCAAAAAUAAAUUUCUAAAGCGGGUGGAUGGAUGGAUGUAAACAAUUCCAAUUACCUUUGAGGCCUGGAUUUAUUCUCAGCCAUGAGAACAAUUAUUUAUGGCUUUAAUUUCAAACAUAUGCUAAAUUAAGGUAAUUUUGGGGCCAAAAUAUUUUUAUACAGCUUGUUUUUUCUGUUUACAAUUUAAAAAUGCUUACACUUUUUGGCUUAAAUUAUUAUUGUGGGUCGUUUGAAUAGAAAUGUUUUUUUUUCUUUCUUUAAUUUAUUCAUUUAUCAACUUGUUUUGUUCCACUACAUUUAUCAAAUGUGACGAUUUAAAAAAUAACCUUAGAUUAUCGAGAUGUUGCAGGACAGUUUUCUGCAUUGACUAACUAUUGAGUUUGUCUUGUCUGGACUUUUUUCGAGUUUAUAUUUUGCAGCAUCCAAAGCUUUAAGUGUCUUAAAGGUGACAUUUUGGCAUGUGGAAAGUUUUUUUAAAAUCUUUUUUUUAAAUAAUCACUAAAGAGGGGUUUAUACAAAUUUAAACCUUGUGAAUCAUAAGAUUCAUAACUUCAUAUUGUAAUGUUAAAAUAUGUCCUGUUUGCUCAGCUGUUGGACAAAUUCUAAGGUGGAAAAAAUAUUUUUCAGAAUAAAUGCAUAUGACAGUCAUUACUGGUUGUAGUCAGUUAACAUUCAAGUUUUUUUUUUUUUUUUUUUUUUUUUACAUUUAAUUCAUAAUAAAAUGGAAGAGAAAAAAAUAAAACCCAGAAAUGUCUUCUUUCGUUCUCCAAAGUCUUUUGUUUACUAUUUUGUAGUGGACCGGGGGAUUUCCCCCCUCCUCCUCCUUGUUUAUUGG
rnacentral:lncRNA from 1 species